AGCGGCGGAUGGGUGAGUAACACGUGGGGAACCUGCCCCUAAGUCUGGGAUACCAUUUGGAAACAGGUGCUAAUACCGGAUAAUAAAGCAGAUCGCAUGAUCAGCUUUUGAAAGGCGGCGUAAGCUGUCGCUAAGGGAUGGCCCCGCGGUGCAUUAGCUAGUUGGUAAGGUAACGGCUUACCAAGGCGACGAUGCAUAGCCGAGUUGAGAGACUGAUCGGCCACAUUGGGACUGAGACACGGCCCAAACUCCUACGGGAGGCAGCAGUAGGGAAUCUUCCACAAUGGACGCAAGUCUGAUGGAGCAACGCCGCGUGAGUGAAGAAGGUUUUCGGAUCGUAAAGCUCUGUUGUUGGUGAAGAAGGAUAGAGGUAGUAACUGGCCUUUAUUUGACGGUAAUCAACCUGAAAGUCACGGCUAACUACGUGCCAGCAGCCGCGGUAAUACGUAGGUGGCAAGCGUUGUCCGGAUUUAUUGGGCGUAAAGCGAGCGCAGGCGGAAAAAUAAGUCUAAUGUGAAAGCCCUCGGCUUAACCGAGGAACUGCAUCGGAAACUGUUUUUCUUGAGUGCAGAAGAGGAGAGUGGAACUCCAUGUGUAGCGGUGGAAUGCGUAGAUAUAUGGAAGAACACCAGUGGCGAAGGCGGCUCUCUGGUCUGCAACUGACGCUGAGGCUCGAAAGCAUGGGUAGCGAACAGGAUUAGAUACCCUGGUAGUCCAUGCCGUAAACGAUGAGUGCUAAGUGU
rnacentral:rRNA from 1 species